CAGCGACGCCGCGUGUAGGAUGAAGUCCUUCGGGAUGUAAACUACUGUCAGGGACCACCAAGCGAUUGUGAUUAAUACCCCCAUGAGUUGAGGAAUCCCAGAGGACGUCACGGCUAACUUCGUGCCAGCAGGCGCGGUAAUACGAAGGUGGCAAGCGUUGUUCGGACUCACUGUGCUUANAGAGCACGUAGGCGGAUUUUCAAGCGUCAUGUGAAAUUCCUCGGGUCAACCGGGGACGUGCAUGGCGAACUGUUGAUCUUGAGGCGUGGAGGUGCCAAGUGGAACUCUUGCUGGAGCGGUUGGAAUGCGUAGAUAUCAAGAGGUACACCCGUAGGCGAAACCGGCUUGCUGGCCCCCGCUCUGACGCUGUAGGUGCGAAAUUCAAGGGUAACAAACGGGACUAGAUACCCCGGUAGUCCGGACCGUUAACGAUGUGCACUAGCUUGAAGCUUUUGACGAACUUUCCGGCCAAAAUGAUAACAUUAAGUGCACCGCGCUGGAAAGUACGGUCGCAAAGGCUUUAACUCAAAGGAAUUGACGGGGGCUCACACAAGCGGUGGAGCAUGUUGCUCAAGUCGAUGCAACGCGAAGAACCUUAUCCUGGGCUGGACAGGUUCGGAUGCCUUCUGCGGAAACGUGAAAGGCUGCCUUCGGGUGAAACGGUCACAGGUGCUGCAUGCCGGUCGUCAGCUCGUGUCGUGAGAUGUUGGNUUGAGUCCCGUAACGAGCGAAACCCUGGUCACUAGUUGCCAGCGCGUAAUGGCGGGGACUCUAGUGAGACUGCCGGUGUUAAACCGGAGGAAGGUGGGGAUGACGUCAAGUCCUCAUGGCCUUUAUGCCCAGGGCUGCAAACGUGCCACAAUGGCGUGUACAAACCGACGCGAGACCGAGAGGUGGAGCAAAUCGGUAAAAGCACGCCUCAGUUCGGAUUGGAGUCUGCAACUCGACUCCAUGAAGUCGGAAUCGCUAGUAAUCGCGUAUCAGCGCGACGCGGUGAAUGUGUUCCUGAGCCUUGUACACACCGCCCGUCAAGUCAUGGAAGUCGGGAGUACCCGAAG
rnacentral:rRNA from 1 species